CCCUUAGAUGUCCUGGGCUGCACGCGCGCUACACUGUUCGACGCAGCGAGUCUUAACCUUGACCGAAAGGUUUGGGUAAUCUUCAGCAAAGUCGAACGUGAUGGGGAUCGAUCAUUGCAAUUAUUGAUCGUGAACGAGGAAUUCCUAGUAAGUGCAAGUCAUCAGCUUGCGCUGAUUACGUCCCUGCCCUUUGUACACACCGCCCGUCGCUACUACCGAUUGGGAAAAUUUUAGAGAGUCCUGGACUGAUGAUUGUUCGGCUUCACGGCCUUACUUUCGUCGGGAAAGAAUUCGAUAAUAUUUUUCUAGAGGAAGUAAAAGUCGUAACA
rnacentral:rRNA from 1 species